GACUUCGGUUGGCUGAAUCUCGUCUUGCGAAAGCUCUUUGGUGUAUAUUGCAAUGUUUAAACGUAAUUGUAGGCCUAUUUGUCGUAUUUGUUGAGAGUUAUUUAAUAUUUUGAGGCAAGUGCUAGUAUGCAAAGAGAGAGGAAUUGACCGUGGUGUGUGAUGGUACUCAAUGAAGAAAAAAUAUAUAAACCAAAGAGAACUUUUGAAUUUCAAAACGUUGUUCCAAGUGAUUUUAUUUUACCAUUGAGUUAUACGUUAAAUACGCCCGGAGACGCAACAUCGUUGAAUGAAGACAAUAAGAAACACCUGAAGGAAAACUGAGCAGAUGAUAUAUAAGACUUGAUUUUAAGAUACAUUUUGAAAUAAUUAAUUGAUUCGACGCACAAAUAAAUCUUCAGCAAACACCUGCAUAACAGACGUCCGGCACAGGAAGCACCAUGGACAGCGCAGAUGAGCUGACGCCCGUGCUGGACGCCGCGCGGUCGAAGAAGAUGACCAAGAAGUACCUGGGCGUGGAGGCGGCGGCCGAGGAAUGGUGCGAGAGCCAGGAGGAGCUCGGGCUCGUCACCGCGACGACGCCCGUCAGGUUCUGGAUCCUGCUGGUGUUUUCGCUCAUGUCGUGGCUGCACGUGAGUGUUGGCUGGUGUUGGUUUCUUUUCGUCUUCUUUUUUUCUUUCUUUUUCAGUAUUUUUGUUUGUUUGUUUGGGGAUUCUG